AACGAACGCUGGCGGCAGGCUUAACACAUGCAAGUCGAACGGUUGUAGCAAUACAGCAGUGGCAGACGGGUGAGUAACACGUGGGAACCUUCCUAGGGGUACGGAACAACUCAGGGAAACUUGAGCUAAUACCGUAUACGUCCGUGAGGAGAAAGAUUUAUCGCCCUUAGACGGGCCCGCGUCGGACUAGCUAGUUGGUGGGGUAACGGCCUACCAAGGCGACGAUCCGUAGCUGAUCUUAGAGGAUGAUCAGCCACACUGGGACUGAGACACGGCCCAGACUCCGACGGGAGGCAGCAGUGGGGAAUCUUGGACAACGGGCGCAAGCCUGAUCCAGCCAUGCCGCGUGAGUGAAGAAGGUCUUCGGAUUGUAAAGCUCUUUUACCAGGGACGAUAAUGACGGUACCUGGAGAAUAAGCCCCGGCAAACUUCGUGCCAGCCGCCGCCGUAAAAC
rnacentral:rRNA from 1 species